rnacentral:tRNA from 1 species
UGAUAAAAUGGCUGAGUUAUAGGCGAUAGACUGUAAAUCUAUAUACGGAUUUGUAAUCCUUUUAUCA